CUGGAGGUAUCAGAAGUGCGAAUGCUGACAUAAGUAACGAUAAAGCGGGUGAAAAGCCCGCUCGCCGGAAGACCAAGGGUUCCUGUCCAACGUUAAUCGGGGCAGGGUGAGUCGACCCCUAAGGCGAGGCCGAAAGGCGUAGUCGAUGGGAAACAGGUUAAUAUUCCUGUACUUGGUGUUACUGCGAAGGGGGGACGGAGAAGGCUAUGUUGGCCGGGCGACGGUUGUCCCGGUUUAAGCGUGUAGGCUGGUUUUCCAGGCAAAUCCGGAAAAUCAAGGCUGAGGCGUGAUGACGAGGCACUACGGUGCUGAAGCAACAAAUGCCCUGCUUCCAGGAAAAGCCUCUAAGCAUCAGGUAACAUCAAAUCGUACCCCAAACCGACACAGGUGGUCAGGUAGAGAAUACCAAGGCGCUUGAGAGAACUCGGGUGAAGGAACUAGGCAAAAUGGUGCCGUAACUUCGGGAGAAGGCACGCUGAUAUGUAGGUGAGGUCCCUCGCGGAUGGAGCUGAAAUCAGUCGAAGAUACCAGCUGGCUGCAACUGUUUAUUAAAAACACAGCACUGUGCAAACACGAAAGUGGACGUAUACGGUGUGACGCCUGCCCGGUGCCGGAAGGUUAAUUGAUGGGGUUAGCGCAAGCGAAGCUCUUGAUCGAAGCCCCGGUAAACGGCGGCCGUAACUAUAACGGUCCUAAGGUAGCGAAAUUCCUUGUCGGGUAAGUUCCGACCUGCACGAAUGGCGUAAUGAUGGCCAGGCUGUCUCCACCCGAGACUCAGUGAAAUUGAACUCGCUGUGAAGAUGCAGUGUACCCGCGGCAAGACGGAAAGACCCCGUGAACCUUUACUAUAGCUUGACACUGAACAUUGAGCCUUGAUGUGUAGGAUAGGUGGGAGGCUUAGAAGUGUGGACGCCAGUCUGCAUGGAGCCGACCUUGAAAUACCACCCUUUAAUGUUUGAUGUUCUAACGUUGACCCGUAAUCCGGGUUGCGGACAGUGUCUGGUGGGUAGUUUGACUGGGGCGGUCUCCUCCUAAAGAGUAACGGAGGAGCACGAAGGUUGGCUAAUCCUGGUCGGACAUCAGGAGGUUAGUGCAAUGGCAUAAGCCAGCUUGACUGCGAGCGUGACGGCGCGAGCAGGUGCGAAAGCAGGUCAUAGUGAUCCGGUGGUUCUGAAUGGAAGGGCCAUCGCUCAACGGAUAAAAGGUACUCCGGGGAUAACAGGCUGAUACCGCCCAAGAGUUCAUAUCGACGGCGGUGUUUGGCACCUCGAUGUCGGCUCAUCACAUCCUGGGGCUGAAGUAGGUCCCAAGGGUAUGGCUGUUCGCCAUUUAAAGUGGUACGCGAGCUGGGUUUAGAACGUCGUGAGACAGUUCGGUCCCUAUCUGCCGUGGGCGCUGGAGAACUGAGGGGGGCUGCUCCUAGUACGAGAGGACCGGAGUGGACGCAUCACUGGUGUUCGGGUUGUCAUGCCAAUGGCACUGCCCGGUAGCUAAAUGCGGAAGAGAUAAGUGCUGAAAGCAUCUAAGCACGAAACUUGCC
rnacentral:rRNA from 1 species